rnacentral:rRNA from 1 species
CGACUACCACAUCCAAGGAAGGCAGCAGGCGCGCAACUUACCCACUCCCGGCACGGGGAGGUAGUGACGAAAAAUAACAAUACGGGACUCUUUCGAGGCCCCGUAAUUGGAAUGAGUACACUUUAAACCCUUUAACGAGGAUCUAUUGGAGGGCAAGUCUGGUGCCAGCAGCCGCGGUAAUUCCAGCUCCAAUAGCGUAUAUUAAAGUUGUUGCAGUUAAAAAGCUCGUAGUUGGAUCUCAGGCGCAGGCGGGCGGUCCGGCUCGCGCCGGCUCACUGCCCGUAUCGCCUGCCCUACCGUCUGUCGGCUCUCUCCCGCGGGUGCUCUUCACUGAGCGUCCCGGGUGGCCGACGCGUUUACUUUGAAAAAAUUAGAGUGUUCAAGGCAGGCCUCGCUGCCUGAAUAAUGGCGCAUGGAAUAAUGGAAUAGGACCUCGGUUCUAUUUUGUUGGUUUUCGGAAUUGGAGGUAAUGAUUAACAGGGACAAACGGGGGCAUUCGUAUUGCUGCGUUAGAGGUGAAAUUCUUGGAUCGCAGCAAGACGAACUACUGCGAAAGCAUUUGUCAAGAAUGUUUUCAUUAGUCAAGAACGAAAGUCAGAGGCGCGAAGACGAUCAGAUACCGUCGUAGUUCUGACCAUAAACUAUGCCACCUGGCCAUCCGCAGGAGUUGCUUCGAUGACUCUGCGGGCGGCCUCCGGGAAACCAAAGGUUUUGGGUUCCGGGGGAAGUAUGGUUGCAAAGCUGAAACUUAAAGGAAUUGACGGAAGGGCACCACCAGGAGUGGAGCCUGCGGCUUAAUUUGACCCAACACGGGAAAACUCACCCGGUCCGGACACUGUAAGAAUUGACAGAUUGAUAGCUCUUUCUUGAUUCGGUGGGUGGUGGUGCAUGGCCGUUCUUAGUUGGUGGAGCGAUUUGUCUGGUUAAUUCCGAUAACGAACGAGACUCUAGCCUAUUAAAUAGUUCGCCGGUUCCUCGAUGCGCCGGCGCAACUUCUUAGAGGGACGAGUGGCGUUUAGCCACACGAGAUUGAGCAAUAACAGGUCUGUGAUGCCCUUAGAUGUCCGGGGCCGCACGCGCGCUACACUGAAGAAAUCAGCGUGGAUGCCUCCCUGGCCCGAAAGGGCUGGGAAACCCGUUGAAUCUUCUUCGUGCUAGGGAUUGGGGCUUGUAAUUGUUCCCCAUGAACGAGGAAUUCCCAGUAAGCGCGAGUCAUAAGCUCGCGUUGAUUACGUCCCUGCCCUUUGUACACACCGCCCGUCGCUACUAUCGAUUGAGCGGUUCAGUGAGGGCCUCGGAUUGGUCUCGGUCUGGCACGCAAGUGCCGGCACCGUUGGCCGAGAAGACGCUCGAACUCGAUCGCUUGGAGAAAGUAAAAGUCGUAACAAGGUU